UGGGGAAUAUUGGACAAUGGGCGCAAGCCUGAUCCAGCAAUGCCGCGUGUGUGAAGAAGGCCUUCGGGUUGUAAAGCACUUUUAUCAGGAGCGAAAUACCACCGACUAAUACUUGGUGGGGCUGACGGUACCUGAGGAAUAAGCACCGGCUAACUUCGUGCCAGCAGCCGCGGUAAUACGAAGGGUGCAAGCGUUAAUCGGAAUUACUGGGCGUAAAGCGUGCGUAGGCGGUUUGUUAAGUCUGUUGUGAAAUCCCCGGGCUCAACCUGGGAAUGGCAAUGGAUACUGGCAAGCUAGAGUGUGUCAGAGGAUGGUGGAAUUCCCGGUGUAGCGGUGAAAUGCGUAGAGAUCGGGAGGAACAUCAGUGGCGAAGGCGGCCAUCUGGGACAACACUGACGCUGAGGCACGAAAGCGUGGGGAGCAAACA
rnacentral:rRNA from 1 species